CACAUCUGUCUAAUAUGUGUCUGUGUUGUGGUUUUAGGGUGAACCAGGUAGAGAUGGAACUGGACUUCCAGGCCCACCAGGCCCACCUGGACCUCCAGGACAAGUUAUUUACCAGACAGGAAACUUUGAUGGAGUUCUUGGAAGUGCUGGGCCUCAGGGGGACGCUGGUUUGCCUGGUCAAGCUGGAUUCCCUGGCCCAAUGGGACCAAAAGGGGACAGAGGGGACCCAGGCCUCCCAGGGUUUGGAAUAAAGGUAACAAACACUGACCCUCUUUACAUCAGAACGAUAGUUUCCUCUUUGUUUUUUGUGCAUUUGUUUUUUUUUUUUUUUUUUUUUUAAC
rnacentral:lncRNA from 1 species